rnacentral:rRNA from 1 species
UAAGGAAUAUUGGUCAAUGGGCGGAAGCCUGAACCAGCCAUGCCGCGUGCAGGAUGACUGCCCUAUGGGUUGUAAACUGCUUUUGUCCAGGAAUAAACCUAGAUACGUGUAUCUAGCUGAAUGUACUGGAAGAAUAAGGAUCGGCUAACUCCGUGCCAGCAGCCGCGGUAAUACGGAGGAUCCGAGCGUUAUCCGGAUUUAUUGGGUUUAAAGGGUGCGUAGGCGGCCUAUUAAGUCAGGGUGAAAUACGGUGGCUCAACCAUCGCAGUGCCUUUGAUACUGAUGGGCUUGAAUCCAUUUGAAGUGGGCGGAAUAAGACAAGUAGCGGUGAAAUGCAUAGAUAUGUCUUAGAACUCCGAUUGCGAAGGCAGCUCACUAAGCUGGUAUUGACGCUGAUGCACGAAAGCGUGGGGAUCGAACAGGAUUAGAUACCCUGGUAGUCCACGCCCUAAACGAUGAUAACUCGAUGUUGGCGAUAGACAGCCAGCGUCCAAGCGAAAGCGUUAAGUUAUCCACCUGGGGAGUACGCCCGCAAGGGUGAAACUUAAAUGAAUUGACGGGGUCAUAGCUGUUUCCU